UGUGUCAACAAUGACCACUGGUAGCAUAUGAGUCAUAUAUAAAGAAUACAUGUCUGGAACUCUUGAGGUCCAC
rnacentral:snoRNA from 1 species